GCUGGAUAGCUCAGUCGGUAGAGUGUGAGACUCUUAAUCACGGGCUUGUGCAUUCAAGCCCCACGUUUGUGCA